UCCUCCGUGGCGCAAUUGGCUAGCGCGUCGUGAGUUCUUCCCCAAGUCUUAGACUAUCGUGAGGGUAGCCGUUGUUUGCUAACUAGAGUUAUAUAGUGACUGUUAAUCAGGAGGUUGACAGUUCAAGCCUGUCCGGGGGAG